rnacentral:rRNA from 1 species
AACGACUCUCGACAACGGAUAUCUCGGCUCUCGCAUCGAUGAAGAACGUAGCGAAAUGCGAUACUUGGUGUGAAUUGCAGAAUCCCGUGAACCAUCGAGUCUUUGAACGCAAGUUGCGCCCGAAGCCACUAGGCUGAGGGCACGCCUUCCUGGGUGUCACGC